GACGAACGCUGGCGGCGUGCUUAACACAUGCAAGUCGAACGAAGAGCGAUGGAAGCUUGCUUCUAUCAAUCUUAGUGGCGAACGGGUGAGUAACGCGUAAUCAACCUGCCCUUCAGAGGGGGACAACAGUUGGAAACGACUGCUAAUACCGCAUACGAUCUAAUCUCGGCAUCGAGGAUAGAUGAAAGGUGGCCUCUACAUGUAAGCUAUCACUGAAGGAGGGGAUUGCGUCUGAUUAGCUAGUUGGAGGGGUAACGGCCCACCAAGGCGAUGAUCAGUAGCCGGUCUGAGAGGAUGAACGGCCACAUUGGGACUGAGACACGGCCCAGACUCCUACGGGAGGCAGCAGUGGGGAAUCUUCCGCAAUGGACGAAAGUCUGACGGAGCAACGCCGCGUGAGUGAUGACGGCCUUCGGGUUGUAAAGCUCUGUUAAUCGGGACGAAAGGCCUUCUUGCGAAUAGCGAGAAGGAUUGACGGUACCGGAAUAGAAAGCCACGGCUAACUACGUG
rnacentral:rRNA from 1 species